UAUUUUAACGGGACUAGCUAACAGUCGUGGGUCGUGGGUCGUGGGUAGAAUGUCGUGGGUCGUGGGUAAAAAGUCGUGGGUCGUGGGUAAAAAGUCGUGGGUCGUGGGUAAAAAGUCGUGGGUCGUGGGUAAAAAGUCGUAAGUCGUGGGUAAAAAGGCGUGGGUCGUGGGUAAAAAGGCGUGGGUCGUGGGUAAAAAGGCGCGGGUCGUGGGUAAAAAGGCGUGGGUCGUGGGUAAAAAGGCGUGGGUCGUGGGUAAAAAGGCGUGGGUCGUGGGUAAAAAGGCGUGGGUCGUGGGUAAAAAGGCGUGGGUCGUGGGUAAAAAGGCGUGGGUCGUGGGUAAAAAGGCGUGGG